UUAGGGAUUCGUCUAUACCAUCGGUAAAGCUUGGAAGACCGCGACUGAUCCUGAGGGGAAAUGGAUGUUAAAAAUAGCAUGUCGUAUCAACGGAGAGCACACGUCUGCACU